rnacentral:lncRNA from 10 species
ACUGACUGGGGUUUAUGGGAUGAAAGAGGAGUGUGUGCUUGGAUGAUGGGGUGUGAUAGUGAAGGGGUGAAAGGUUUCUUCUCACACAUAGACAUCGUGAGGUCUUCCUUGAGCUCUUUAGAGCCUUCCCUCGGGAUAGGAUGAAAUACUGAGAUCCUAGAAAGGAUUCACAAGACGAGUCACUCAUCAGUGCAGAUUCACCGAUUCACCCCUAGAUGUGUGUGGGAUUUGGAUGGCAGAGAGAAACAGGCACUGAAGAUUUUUGGUCAGGACAGGGCAGAGAAAUAAGGAGAAGAGUUGAAAAUUCACCAAAGGAUAGAUAAACCCGGGGCGUUUAGAGAAAACCUGUAGUGUGCAAAGGAGCCCAGAAUCCUGGGGAAACUUGGAGGGAAAUAUACUUAAUUUGAUUCACUAAGUUAGGCCCAGUGAAGGGAUUGGGUGGCAUAGGUAGAAGCCGAAAAAUAAAGCAUCUUGUAUUGCUGGAAUAGCCUCUGUUUCUGAGGUCACAUCCAAACUUAGCGAGGCAGCUUAACCUGGUGAGAGACACGGGUUCAACUCCUGGCUUCUGCACUGCCAGGGCAAAGGACUGCCGUUUGCUGACACAGUCUUGUAAUUCAAUUUAAUUUUUUAACCAAGGUGUGGGAGAAGGCAGCUCCGCAUAAUGCUGAAUAUUAUGGGUUCUGAAGCGAAAAUUUUUGUCAGGGUUUAAAUUUUGGCUUCAUUGUGUAAGUAGCCCUUCCACCCCGGGCAAGUUAUUUCCCACAUAAAGCAAUUGCUAAGUAUGGAGCUGAUGUACGUGCAUCACUGAGAAUGGGUUUAGCACAUAGUAUCCACUGAAGACGCUAUCUU